rnacentral:rRNA from 1 species
GACGAACGCUAGCGGCGUGCCUAAGGUAUGCAAGUCGAACGGCCCGCAAGGGCAGUGGCGAACGGUCGAGUAACACGUAGACAACCUGCCUCGAGGUGGGGGAUAACCGCGGGAAACUGCGGCUAAUACCGCAUGUGGCAGGGUGGGGCGAUCCCACCCUUGCUAAAGGGGAAAUUCGCCUGGAGAUGGGUCUGCGGCCUAUCAGCUAGUUGGUGGGGUAACGGCCUACCAAGGCGACGACGGGUAGCNGGUCUGAGAGGAUGAUCAGCCGGACGGGGACUGAGACACGGCCCCGACUCCUUCGGGAGGCAGCAAUGAGGGAUAUUGCGCAAUGGGGGAAACCCGUNACGCAGCGACGCCGCGUGGGUGAGGAAGUCC